UUAUGGCUCAGGAUGAACGCUGGCGGCGUGCUUAACACAUGCAAGUCGAACGGAGUUUUAACGGAAGUUUCGGAUGGAAGUUUAGAAACUUAGUGGCGGACGGGUGAGUAACGCGUGGGUAACCUGCCUCAUACAGGGGGAUAACAGUUAGAAAUGACUGCUAACACCGCAUAAUAUAGCGAAACCGCAUGAUUUUGCUAUCAAAUAUUUAUAGGUAUGAGAUGGGCCCGCGUCUGAUUAGCUAGUUGGUGGGGUAAAAGCCUACCAAGGCGACGAUCAGUAGCCGGCUUGAGAGAGUGACCGGCCACAUUGGGACUGAGACACGGCCCAAACUCCUACGGGAGGCAGCAGUGGGGAAUAUUGGACAAUGGGGGAAACCCUGAUCCAGCGAACCGCCGCGUGAGUGAAGAAGUAUUUCGGUAUGUAAAGCUCUAUCAGCAGGGAAGAUAAUGACAGUACCUGACUAAGAAGCCCCGGCUAACUACGUGCCAGCCGCAGC
rnacentral:rRNA from 1 species